AUUGAACGCUGGCGGCAUGCCUUACACAUGCAAGUCGAACGGUAACAGGUCUUCGGAUGCUGACGAGUGGCGAACGGGUGAGUAAUACAUCGGAACGUGCCUAGUAGUGGGGGAUAACUACUCGAAAGAGUGGCUAAUACCGCAUGAGAUUUACGGAUGAAAGCAGGGGAUCGCAAGACCUUGUGCUACUAGAGCGGCCGAUGGCAGAUUAGGUAGUUGGUGGGAUAAAAGCUUACCAAGCCGACGAUCUGUAGCUGGUCUGAGAGGACGAUCAGCCACACUGGGACAGAUACACGGCCCAGACUCCUACGGGAGGCAGAAGUGGGGAAUGUUGGACAAUGGGCGCAAGCCUGAUCCAGCAAUGCCGCGUGGAGGAAGAAGGCCUACGGGUUGUAAAGUGCUUUUGUACGGAACGAAAAGCCCUUAGUUAAUACCCUGGGGUCAUGACGGUACCGUAAGAAUAAGCCCCGGCUAACUACGUGCCAGCCGCCGCGGUAGCAC
rnacentral:rRNA from 1 species